GGGUGCGAUCAUACGAGCACUAAUGAACUGGAUCCCAUCAGAACUUCGAAGUUAAGCGUGCUUGGGCGAGAUUAGUAUUAGGAUGGGUGACCUCCUGGGUAGUCCUCGUGUUGCACCCC
rnacentral:rRNA from 1 species